AGGGAGGAUGGCUGGACUGCUUUGGAGAUGGACUUGGGGUGAGGGAGAGGGAUGAUGGGGGGAGCAGCCAGAGGCUAUCUCAACCAGAACCUCACUGCUGACCAGAGUUGGGGACUGUGAGAAGAUGGCAAAAGCCUAUCAAUGUUGGUGUCCAACAUGUUGCAUGAAGGAUUUUCCACAGAGACACAGGGCAAAGAAAUCACACCAGAAAAGGAACAAAGGCCUAAGUGAGUCACACAUGCUUUGGCUGAAGAAACUGCUUGAUUCUAUGCAGUACGAAGUCACGUUUGUUCCUGUGGUUGACUCAACAGACAGUACCUCCUGCUGCAGGCCCAAGGCCACCAUAAUCAUCAUUGAGCUUGCCUCUCCACCCCAGGAUCUCUAAAUAAAUCAUCUUUCUCUGAAAAAAAAAAA